rnacentral:rRNA from 1 species
UACCAGCACCCCGAGUGGUCGGGACGUUUAUUGGGCCUAAAGCAUCCGUAGCCGGUCAUGCAAGUCCUCCGUUAAAUCCAGCCGCUCAACGGUUGGGCUGCGGAGGAUACUACGUGGCUAGGAGGCGGGAGAGGCAAGCGGUACUCAGUGGGUAGGGGUAAAAUCCUUUGAUCCAUUGAGGACCACCAGUGGCGAAGGCGGCUUGCCAGAACGCGCUCGACGGUGAGGGAUGAAAGCUGGGGGAGCAAACCGG